CUGCAGUCAGUUAAGCCAACGAUGCUCUUUUCCCCAGUGUACAAUGGCUGCAAACAGCAGCCUCCUUGGUAGUGUAUGCAGCCUGUUGCCUGUAUGGGUUUCCCUAAGGGACCUUGGAGACAGCC
ensembl:snoRNA SNORA70 Small nucleolar RNA SNORA70